rnacentral:rRNA from 1 species
AUGUAUGAUAUCUUCAAUAGUCAAGGCAGUACACAGGCAAACUUUCCUCUGAACCUGGGUGCACAUACUUCACUGGCUGAGUCCAACCAAGCGUCUACUGCGCUCCAACCCCCUGCAAACAAAGUCGCUUAUGAAGCCCCCAUGUCAUACAUGCAACUCCUACUUACUGCUGAAGAAGAGGGUGCUAGAUAUGCAUCCUCACAAUCGCAAGAAGAUCGCCUUGUUCGUACUAAGAAUGAUAUGUACAUGAUAACUGGGCGAUACAGUAGAUCUUCAGAAGAUCCAUUCCAAGCACACACUAAGGGUGGAGCUGAGCAAACGUCUCAAGAUGAUGACCAGCAUGAUAUAGAGCUUGAGCCUUUUGUUGACAACCGUUUUUUAGAAAGCUUGAAUGAUUUGAACUGGGACAAUGAAAUGCAGACAGAAGCAGGAGGAAACAAAAACGAUUCUAUGGUGUCAAAUGAGAUUUCUUCUGACAAUGAUUCUGAUUCCGAGGAUGAUAUUUCUCCAGCGUUGUUGCAAAAAGCCUCUGAGAUUACUGUUACAACUGCUGGAGAACAAGAGAACAGUGGUGCAGCUGGCGAAGUUCAAAAAUUAACACAGGAAGAUAUACUUAUAUUCCUUGAAAAUGACAGUAUAGAAGCUGCUCAGACUGCUAGCCAAGAAGUGCGCAGUCAUCACGUACCCCAUGUGGACAUGAUCUUUGAUACGGAUGAUGCAGCUUACAACUUUUACAAUGAGUAUGCCUCAAUUGCUGGUUUUUCUGUGAUCAAAGCAUCUCGCUAUUGUGGCAAGAAACAAGGAGGCAGUGCAGCAACUCGGGUAACUUUCAAGUGCAAUCGGUCAGGAAGAGUAAUUGAUGAAGAAGAACAAGAUAAUAGGAAGAAGAAACGACGUGAAACAAGGCAACAGAAGACAGGACAAGAGCCCUAUUGCAAUGCAAGGAAGAGAAAAGCAAACACCAUUGCAAUAACAGGGUGUAAAGCUCAGCUCAUUGUCACCAAGAAGGAUGAGAAGUGGGUGAUAACAACCAUAAACCUACAGCACAACCAUGAUUUGAGUCCUCACACAGAAGUGAAAUACCUUCGUUCUCAUAACUACAUGACAGAAGAGGAGAAACUCCUAAUCCGAACUUUCAAUGCUGUGAAGCUACCAACAAGACAAAUAAUAGCAAUCCUAAGUUACUUGAGAGGCGGGAACACUCCUUACACCAAAAAGCAUGUGAGCAAUGUUAGAACAGCCAUUGGCAAAGAGAGCAAUCAAAAUGACAUGAUGCAGGUGCUCACAUAUUUCAGGAAGAGGCAAGCUGAAGAUCCACAAUUUUACUAUGCGUUCAAAACAACUAAAUUCUCUGAUGAUGCAAGUAAAGUUUUGUGCAUUUUCUGGGCUAACGGGUAUUCUAGGAAAAUGUAUGAGCUGUACGGAGACUGCCUCAGCUUCGACACAACAUUCAAGACAAACAGAUACAACCUCCCAUUUGCUCCCUUUGUUGGUGUCACAGGACAUGGGCAGAAAUGUUUGUUUGCUUGCUCAAUCAUAGAGAAUGAAACGGCUGACACCUUUCAAUGGUUGUUUGAGACAUUCUUGCAUUGCAUGGGUGGGAAAUCCCCGUCCACAAUCAUAACAGACGAGGAUGCUGGGAUGAAGACAGCUAUCCCUUUAGUUUUCCCGCAUAUCUGCCACAGGCGAUGUUUGUUUCAUAUUAAGAAGAAGGCCGAGGAAAAAUGUACUAGGACUUUUGGAGCAAAUAAAACACUGCAUGAUGAUUUCAGUGACAUCAUUCACAACUCUCUGACAGUGGCUGAGUUUGAGCAAUUGUGGACAGAGAUGAUUCAGAAAUACAACAUUGGGCAUGUGAAGUAUUUCCAAAUCAUGUGGAAGAAGAGGAAAAGGUUUGUCCCUGUGUAUUUCAAGACGGAGUUCUUCCCCUUCAUUCACUCUACUGCGCGUAAUGAAGGCACCAACGCCAUUUUCAAGGACAACAUCACAUCAACUCACAAUGUGAUCAGCUUCCUCCAAGAGUACCAGAAGAUUUCAGAAACCAUACAAGAUAAGGAGAGGGAGCAAGACUCUAUCACAAGAACGACUUCGCCUACAUUCUGGGCAUGA